ACUGCGCAUUUCUUUGCAUAAUGUCUAAUUUGAAGGGAGACCACAUUUCUUCCACACCAACUAAUGCUUUCAAUCACUGGGAUGAUAGUUUUGUCCAAUCUAUCCAAACACCAAAUUAUGCAGGAUCUGAAUACCGCGAACGUGUGGAAACACUCGUGAAAGAAGUGAAAAUGUUGUUAAAAGAUAUGCAGAGUGGAGAAAACGAUAUAAUUGAACGGCUUGAGAUGGUUGAUGCACUGCAAUGCCUCGGAAUAGAUCGAUAUUUUCAGGCCGAGAUAAAAGAAGCUCUUGAUUACGUUUACCGAGCUUGGAAUGAAAGUGCGGGGAUAGGAUUAGGAUGUGAAAGCUGUACAAUGGAUUUGAAUGCCACAGCUUUAGGACUCAGACUUCUUCGACUCAAUCGUUAUCAUGUUUAUGCAGAUACGCUGAAGAAUUUCAAGCACAAUAACGGGCAGUUCAUUCUCUGUGGAGUAAAUGAUAAUGGUGAGAAUAAUAUUGAGGAAGAGCAUAUCAUGAGAAGUAUGCUCAAUCUCUUAAGAGUUUCAAGUGUGGCGUACCCUGAAGAAGUUCUUAUGGAAGAGGCUAAAGCAUUUAGUACUCAAUAUCUUAAAAAGUUAUUAGAAAAUUCUGGAGAUACGUGUGAGAAAAGAAGUUUUCUGAAAGAGGUGGAAUAUGCCCUCGUAUAUGAAUGGCCCUGCACCUUUAUUAGAUGGGAGGCACGGAAUUUCAUAGAAAUCUAUGAGCUGGAUAAUCAAAGAUUUUAUUGUUUUCUUUAGGUUGAAGACAAAAGGAUUUUAGAGCUCGCGAAAUUGGAUUUUAAUAUACUACAAUUUCAGUACAAGCUAGAGAUGAAAAAACUCUCAAGUUGGUGGGUAGAUUCUGGCAUCUCCAAGCUAGUUGCAACAAGGGAGCGGACAAUUGAAUUUCACUUUUGGGCAGUUAGUUUGGCAGACGAAGAGGAGCUUUCUACUAGCAGAGUUGCUUUCGCAAAAAUUGUAACUGCUAUGACAAUCAUGGAUGACAUUUAUGAUGACUAUGGAAUGCUCGAGGAACUCAAAUGUAUUACAGAGGCCAUUGCUCAAGGUUGGGAUGUUUCUAUAAUAAAAAACAUUACAAGCAACCUCAAGACAUGUAUUGAAUUUUGUUUCAAAACAAUUCUUGAAUUGACAAGUGAUGCUACUAAAAAGCAAGGGCGUGACAUGAUGCCUUUUGUUACAAAAGCAUGGGUAGAUUAUGUAGAAGCUUGUUUUGAGCAAGCACGAUGGAAAAUAACAAGAUAUCUUCCAACUUAUAAUGAGUAUAUGAAAUAUGCUGAAUUAUUUGUAGGAUUUGGACCAAUAUUGUUACAUACUGCUCUAUUAGGAUCUCGUAUUUUAUGUGAUGAUGAAAUUGAGAAGAUAUACCUUGAUAGAUCUAGAUUCUACCAGCUCAUGCCAGUGUGUAUACGAUUAAUUGAUGAUAUACAAGAUUUUGAGGAUGAGAGACUCCAUGGAAAAACUGCCUCAGCUAUUUCUUGUUAUAUGGGUGAUCAUCCUAGUUGCUCAGAAGGAGAGGCACUAAAUCACAUCACCAAACUCAAAAAUGAAUCAUUGAAGGAAUUGACAAGGGAAUUUUUAAAACCAGACAAUGUUUUGCUUGAUUGGGAGAAGUUUGGUGUCAAUGGUACUAGAGGAAUACAAUUUCUCUAUAUAUUUGGAGAUGGCUUCACAUAUUGUCAAAAGGAGGUCAAGAAUCAAAUAUUUAAAGUUUUUCUCGAUAUAAUAGAAGUAUAAAAAAGAAAGCAUUUUCAUCAUCUAAAACUAAAAUGCUUUCUUUACUCUAGAAUUCUAGUAAAUCAUAGACUUAGAUGAUACUUCUAAUUUUAUUCUAUUGUAAUAAUUUCUUUGUUACUAUGAUUCAUCUAAGCUUAUUUAGAUUGAAUUAGAACUUUGUUUUAGAUAGAGUUGACAUGUUGUAUGGUUUUCAUAUGUAGUGCCCCUCCCUGAUUCUUCUUUCUUUUUGUGCAUUGAUAGACUAUAUUGAUAUAGUUCAUACUAUUUUGUGAUGCUUUUGAUUAGAUGUUUAUGGACGCACUUAUAAUUUGGAUGCUUUAUUAUUGAUGAUAGAUGUAUCGUAUCUGCACUUGACAUUAUGCUUUCAUGUGGAUAAUGAUAUUCAUAGAUUAUUAUGAUGAUGGAUUACUAUUUGAUGAUCUAUGUGUAUUCAUUUUAUGUGUAUGGUUUAUAAUUGCUUAUGGUGAUUUGAUGGUAUCUUAUUAUGUACUAACCUUAUUUGAUUGUGUCUGUCUUCUACUAUGGUUUUGAUAGGGAUGAUGUCAUACCACUCAUUCAUGAGCAUGAUAUGACGUUGUGAUUCCUUUUCACUUGUCUAUUUAUUUCAUGAUAUAAGGUAUUGUACAUGUUGUUGUACAUGUAUUGGUGGUGA